GUGCCAGCAGCCGCGGUAAGACAGAGUGUGCAAACGUUGUUCGGAAUUACUGGGCAUAAAUAGCACGUAGGUGGUGCGCUAAGUCACGUGUGAAAUCCCCCGGCUUAACCGGGGAAUGGCGCGUGAUACUGGCGGACUUGAGGCAGGUAGGGGUGAGCGGAACUCCAGGUGGAGCGGUGAAAUGCGUAGAUAUCUGGAGGAACACCGGUGGCGAAAGCGGCUCACUGGACCUGAUCUGACACUGAGGUGCGAAAGCUAGGGUAGCAAACGGGAUUAGAAACCCGCGUAGUCC
rnacentral:rRNA from 1 species